GACGACGCUGGCGGCGUGCCUAACACAUGCAAGUCGAGCGGGGUUGAAGCGAGGGGUAACUCGAACUUCUACCUAGCGGCGGACGGGUGAGUAACGCGUGGGCAACCUGCCUCAAGGUCUGGGAUAACAGCUCGAAAGGGCUGCUAAUACCGGAUAUGCCUAUAGCCUCGCAUGGGGCUAUGAGCAAAGGGGAAACCCGCCUUGAGAUGGGCCCGCGUCCCAUCAGCUAGUUGGUGAGGUGAAGGCUCACCAAGGCGACGACGGGUAGCCGGCCUGAGAGGGUGACCGGCCACACUGGGACUGAGACACGGCCCAGACUCCUACGGGGGGCAGCAGUGGGGAAUCUUGCACAAUGGGCGAAAGCCUGAUGCAGCGACGCCGCGUGAGCGAAGAAGGCCUUCGGGUUGUAAAGCUCUGUCUGGAGGGACGAAGAAAGUGACGGUACCUCCGGAGGAAGCCACGGCUAACUACGUG
rnacentral:rRNA from 1 species